rnacentral:rRNA from 1 species
GCUCAGGACGAACGCUGGCGGCGUGCUUAACACAUGCAAGUCGAACGGAAAGGCCCUGCUUUUGUGGGGUGCUCGAGUGGCGAACGGGCGAGUAACACGUGAGUAACCUGCCCUUGACUUUGGGAUAACUUCAGGAAACUGGGGCUAAUACCGGAUAGGAGCUCCUGCUGCAUGGUGGGGGUUGGAAAGUUUCGGCGGUUGGGGAUGGACUCGCGGCUUAUCAGCUUGUUGGUGGGGUAGUGGCUUACCAAGGCUUUGACGGGUAGCCGGCCUGAGAGGGUGACCGGCCACAUUGGGACUGAGAUACGGCCCAGACUCCUACGGGAGGCAGCAGUGGGGAAUAUUGCACAAUGGGCGGAAAGCCUGAUGCAGCAACGCCGCGUGCGAGGAUGACGGCAUUUGGGUGUGUAAACUCGCUUUCGUAUAUAGGAAGAUAAUGACGGUACUGGAUAUGAAUAAGCACCGGCUAACUCCGUGCCAGCAGCCGCGGUAAUACGGAGGGUGCAAGCGUUACUCGGAAUCACUGGGCGUAAAGCGCGCGCAGGCGGUUUGAUAAGUUGGAUGUGAAAUCCUAUGGCUUAACCAUAGAACUGCAUCCAAAACUGUCAAACUAAGAGUCUGGGAGGGGAAGAUGGAAUUAGUGGUGUAAGGGGUAAAAUCCGUAGAGAUCACUAGGAAUACCAAAAGCGGGAAAGGCCGAUCUUCUGGAACAAGUACUGACGCUUAGGCGCNAAAGCGUGGGGAGCAAACAGGAUUAAGAUACCCUGGUAGUCCACGCCCUAAACGAUUGAAUGUUUAG